rnacentral:rRNA from 1 species
AAUCGAACCCGGAGAUAGCUGGUUCUCCUCGAAAUAGCUUUAGGGCUAGCCUCGAUGGAGUCUUACGGAGGUAGAGCACUGAAUUUCUAAGGGGGCGUCAAAGCUUACCAAGGGAUAUCAAACUCCGAAUGCCGUAAAGAUGCUCAUCGGGAGUCAGACUGCACGAGAUAAGUUGGGCAGUCAAAAGGGAAAGAGCCCAGACCUGCUGCUAAGGUCCCAAAGUACGUGUUAAGUGGAAAAGGAUGUGGGAUUUCGAAGACAACUAGGAUGUUGGCUCAGAAGCAGCCAUACAUUCAAAGAGUGCGUAAUAGCUCACUAGUCGAGAGGUCCUGCGCCGAAAAUGUCCGGGGCUGAAACACGACACCGAAGCUUAGGAAUCACAUAGUGAUUGGUAGAGGAGCAUUCUUAAAACCGACGAAGCUGUACCGGAAGGAGCAGUGGAGGGAUAAGAAGAGAGAAUGCCGGAAUGAGUAGCGAGAGGAAGGUGGGAAUCCUUCCGGCCGAAUAUCUAAGGUUUCCAGAGUAAAGCUGAUCUGCUCUGGGUAAGUCGGGGCCUAAGGAGAGGUCGCAAGACGUAUCCGAUGGACAACAGGUUUAGAUUCCUGUACCGCAUAUAAACAGAACUGUGGGGACGCAUGUGGAAAGCAUAAGCCGGGAAUGGAAAGACCGGUACAAGCGGGGUAGGUGUGUGACAGGCAAAUCCGUCGCAUAAGCCGAAGACGUGAUGUGGAGCGAAAUUAAGUAGUGAAGUAUGUGAGCCAUGUGCCGAGAAAAGCCGCUAUUGUUUUAUAUGUGCCCGUACCGUAAACCGACGCAGGUGGAUGAGGAGAGAAUCCUAAGGCCGACGGAAGAAGCAUUGUUAAGGAAUUCGGCAAAAUGACCCCGUAACUUCGGGAGAAGGGGUGCCCACUGAAUGGUGGGCCGCAGAGAAUAGGCUCAAGCAACUGUUUAGCAAAAACACAGGUCUAUGCGAAACCGAAAGGUGAGGUAUAUGGGCUGACGCCUGCCCGGUGCUGGAAGGUUAAGAGGAGAGGUUAGCGCAAGCGAAGCUUUGAAUUUAAGCCCCAGUAAACGGCGGCCGUAACUAUAACGGUCCUAAGGUAGCGAAAUUCCUUGUCGGGUAAGUUCCGACCCGCACGAAAGGCGUAAUGAUUUGAGCGCUGUCUCGACAAUGCAUCCGGUGAAAUUGAAGUACCAGUGAAGAUGCUGGUUACCUGCGCCAGGACGGAAAGACCCCAUGGAGCUUUACUCUAGCUUGAUACUGGGAUUCGGUAUUGCAUGUACAGGAUAGGUGGGAGACUAAGAGGUGAUGACGCCAGUUGUCACGGAGUCGAUGUUGGGAUACCACCCCUGCAGUACUGGGUUUCUAACCUGCGGCCGUGACCCGGCCGGGGGACAAUGUCUGGUGGGGAGUUUGACUGGGGCGGUCGCCUCCGAAAGGGUAUCGGAGGCGCUCAAAGGUUCCCUCAGAAUGGUUGGAAACCAUUCGAAGAGUGCAAAGGCAGAAGGGAGCUUGACUGCGACACCGACGGGUGGAGCAGGUACGAAAGUAGGACUUAGUGAUCCGGUGGUAUAAAGUGGGAUUGCCAUCGCUCAACGGAUAAAAGCUACCCUGGGGAUAACAGGCUUAUCACUCCCAAGAGUUCACAUCGACGGAGUGGUUUGGCACCUCGAUGUCGGCUCAUCGCAUCCUGGGGCUGUAGUAGGUCCCAAGGGUUGGGCUGUUCGCCCAUUAAAGCGGUACGCGAGCUGGGUUCAGAACGUCGUGAGACAGUUCGGUCCCUAUCCGGCGUGGGCGUAGGAUAUUUGAGAGGAGCUGUCCUUAGUACGAGAGGACCGGGAUGGACUGGCCGCUGGUGUAUCUGUUGUCUUACCAAAGGCAUAGCAGAGUAGCCAAGCCGGGAAGGGAUAAACGCUGAAGGCAUCUAAGCGUGAAGCCCCCCUCAAGAUGAGAUAUCCCAUAACGUCAAGUUAGUAAGACCCCUUGA